rnacentral:rRNA from 1 species
GAAGGGUGCAAGCGUUACUCGGAAUUACUGGGCGUAAAGCGUGCGUAGGUGGUUUGUUAAGUCUGCUGUGAAAUCCCCGGGCUCAACCUGGGAAUGGCAGUGGAUACUGGCAAGCUAGAGUGCGGUAGAGGGAUGUGGAAUUCCCGGUGUAGCGGUGAAAUGCGUAGAGAUCGGGAGGAACACCAGUGGCGAAGGCAGCAUCCUGGACCAGCACUGACACUCAGGCACGAAAGCGUGGGGAGCAAACAGGAUUAGAUACCCUGGUAGUCCACGCCCUAAACGAUGCGAACUGGACGUUGGGAGCAACUUGGCUCUCAGUGUCGAAGCUAACGCGUUAAGUUCGCCGCCUGGGGAGUACGGUCGCAAGACUG